GACGAACGCUGGCGGCGUGCUUAACACAUGCAAGUCGAACGGAAAGGCCCUGCUUUUGUGGGGUGCUCGAGUGGCGAACGGGUGAGUAACACGUGAGUAACCUGCCCUUGACUUUGGGAUAACUUCAGGAAACUGGGGCUAAUACCGGAUCGGAGCUCCUGCUGCAUGUUGGGGGUUGGAUAGUUUCUGCGGUUGGGGAUGGACUCGCUGCUUACCACCAUGUUGGUGGAGUAGGGGCUUACCAUGGCUAUGACGGGUAGCAGGCCUUGGAGGGUGAACGGCGACAUUGGGACUGAGAUACGGCCCAGACUGCUACGUGAGGCAGUGGUGGGGAGUAUUGCGCAAUGGGCGGAAGCCUGAUGCAGCAACGCCGCGUGCGGGAUGACGGCCUUCGGGUUGUAAACCACUUUCGCAUGUGACGAGGCGUGAGUGACGGUAAUGGGUAAGAAAGCACCGGCUAACUACGUG
rnacentral:rRNA from 1 species